rnacentral:rRNA from 1 species
GACGAACGCUGGCGGCGUGCUUAACACAUGCAAGUCGAACGGAAAGGCCCUGCUUUUGUGGGGUGCUCGAGUGGCGAACGGGUGAGUAACACGUGAGUAACCUGCCCUUGACUUUGGGAUAACUUCAGGAAACUGGGGCUAAUACCGGAUAGGAGCUCCUGCUGCAUGGUGGGGGUUGGAAAGUUUCGGCGGUUGGGGAUGGACUCGCGGCUUAUCAGCUUGUUGGUGGGGUAGUGGCUUACCAAGGCUUUGACGGGUAGCCGGCCUGAGAGGGUGACCGGCCACAUUGGGACGGAGAUACGGCCCAGACUCCUACGGGAGGCAGCAGUGGGGAAUAUUGCACAAUGGGCGGAAGCCUGAUGCAGCAACGCCGCGUGCGGGAUGACGGCCUUCGGGUUGUAAACCGCUUUCGCCUGUGACGAAGCGUGAGUGACGGUAAUGGGUAAAGAAGCACCGGCUAACUACGUG